AGAGUUUGAUCAUGGCUCAGAUUGAACGCUGGCGGCAUGCUUUACACAUGCAAGUCGAGCGGCAGCGCGGGGGCAACCCUGGCGGCGAGCGGCGAACGGGUGAGGAAUACAUCGGAACGUGCCCGAGAGUGGGGGAUAACGCCGCGAAAGCGGCGCUAAUACCGCAUAUUCUCUGAGGAGGAAAGUGGGGGACCGCAAGGCCUCACGCUCACGGAGCGGCCGAUGUCGGAUUAGCUAGUUGGUGGGGUAAAGGCUUACCAAGGCGACGAUCCGUAGCUGGUCUGAGAGGAUGAUCAGCCACACUGGGACUGAGACACGGCCCAGACUCCUACGGGAGGCAGCAGGUGGGAAUUUGGACAAGUGGGGCAACCCUGAUCCAGCCAUGCCGCGUGCGGGAAGAAGGCCUUCGGGUUGUAAGCCGCUUUUAACCGGGAAGAAAAGGCAUCUCUUAAUACGGGGUGUUCUUGACGGUACCGGUGGAAUAAGCACCGGCUAACUACGUG
rnacentral:rRNA from 1 species